rnacentral:rRNA from 1 species
UACAGAGGGUGCGAGCGUUAAUCGGAAUUACUGGGCGUAAAGCGCACGUAGUCGGCUUUGCAAGUCGGGUGUGAAAUCCCCGGGCUCAACCUGGGAAGCUGCAUCCGAGACUGCAUUGCUAGAGUAUGGGAGAGGGAAGCGGAAUUUCUGGUGUAGCAGUGAAAUGCGUAGAUAUCAGAAGGAACAUCAGUGGCGAAGGCGGCUUCCUGGACCAAUACUGACGAUCAGGUGCGAAAGCCGUGGGGAGCAAACAGG